GUUGGAUGUGGUUGCAUACUUCUGAAAUCCUAACUACUAUUGAGGCUGAGGCUGGUGGAUCUCUUGAGCUUUGGAGUUCUGAGCUGUAAUGGACUAAGCCAAUCAGGUGUCCAUCUUAAGUUUGGCAUUACUAAUAUGGUAAGCCUCCAGGAGUUGAGAGCCAUCAGAUUGCCUAAGGAGGAAUAAAUUGCUUCAGGUCAGAAACAGGUAAUUAAAGCUCCUAUGCUGAUAUGAAUUAGGGUAAUGAGUAGCUCCAGCACUUCUGGCCUGGGUGAGAUGGGGAGACCCAGUCUUAA
rnacentral:SRP_RNA from 1 species